rnacentral:rRNA from 1 species
UACAGAGGGUGCGAGCGUUGUCCGGAAUCACUGGGCGUAAAGGGCGCGUAGGUGGCGCUCCAAGUCUGUGGUGAAAGCUCGAUGCUCAACAUCGAGUCGGCCAUAGAGACUGGAGGGCUCGAGCACUGUAGGGGCAGAUGGAAUUCCGGGUGUAGCGGUGGAAUGCGUAGAGAUCCGGAAGAACACCGGUGGCGAAGGCGGCCUGCUGGGCAGUUGCUGACACUGAGGCGCGACAGCGUGGGGAGCAAACAGG